AAGCCUACGGGGCGCAGCAGUGAGGAAUAUUGGUCAAUGGGCGGGAGCCUGAACCAGCCAAGUCGCGUGAAGGAAGAAGGUACUUAGUAUUGUAAACUUCUUUUGUCGGGGAACAAAGGCGGAGACGCGUCUCCGGAUGAGUGUACCCGAAGAAAAAGCAUCGGCUAACUCCGUGCCAGCAGCCGCGGUAAUACGGAGGAUGCGAGCGUUAUCCGGAUUUAUUGGGUUUAAAGGGUGCGCAGGCGGUUUUUUAAGUUAGUGGUUAAACGUCGGGGCUUCACCUUGAUUUGCCAU
rnacentral:rRNA from 1 species